CCUACGGGGGGCAGCAGUGAGGAAUAUUGGUCAAUGGCCGGAAGGCUGAACCAGCCAUGCCGCGUGAAGGUCAGUGCCCUAUGGGCGUUAAACUUCUUUUGUGCGGGAGCAAUAAUGGUCACGUGUGGCCAGACGAGAGUACCGUACGAAUAAGCAUCGGCUAACUCCGUGCCAGCAGCCGCGGUAAUACGGGGGAUGCAAGCGUUAUCCGGAUUUAUUGGGUUUAAAGGGUGCGUAGGCUGGGAGGUAAGUCAGCGGGGAAAUGCCCGCGCUCAACGGGGUGAAGUGCCAUUGAUACUGCCUUGCUGGAGUGCGGAAGCGGUAGGAGGAAUGUGUGGUGUAGCGGUGAAAUGCAUAGAUAUCACGCAGAACACCGAUUGCGAAGGCAUCUCACGAAUCCGCGAUUGACGCUGAUGCACGAAAGCGUGGGUAUCAAACAGGAUUAGAUACCCCAGUAGUC
rnacentral:rRNA from 1 species